ensembl:snoRNA
GUAAGAGUUUGGAUUUAUGGCAGGCCCAUCCUCCUGGGUCUCUCAUAGUGUCCCAUGCCGGAGUAAACUGUGUCCCUAAACCAUUGCCUGGCCUCUGUGCCUGCAGACUUCUGGCACUGAAGAGGAUUGUACAGUU